GUGGGGAAUAUUGGACAAUGGGCGAAAGCCUGAUCCAGCCAUGCCGCGUGUGUGAAGAAGGUCUUCGGAUUGUAAAGCACUUUAAGUUGGGCGGAAGGGCAGUAAGUUAAUACCUUGCUGUUUUGACGUUACCGACAGAAUAAGCACCGGCUAACUUCGUGCCAGCAGCCGCGGUAAUACGAAGGGUGCAAGCGUUAAUCGGAAUUACUGGGCGUAAAGCGCGCGUAGGUGGUUUUGUAAGUUGGAGGUGAAAUCCCCGGGCUCAACCUGGGAACUGCCUCCAAAACUGCAUGACUAGAGUACGGUAGAGGGUAGUGGAAUUUCCUGUGUAGCGGUGAAAUGCGUAGAUAUAGGAAGGAACACCAGUGGCGAAGGCGACUACCUGGACUGAUACUGACACUGAGGUGCGAAAGCGUGGGGAGCAAACAGGAUUAGAAACCCGGGUAGUCC
rnacentral:rRNA from 1 species